rnacentral:rRNA from 1 species
CCUACGGGAGGCAGCAGUGAGGAAUAUUGGUCAAUGGCCGUAAGGCUGAACCAGCCAAGCCGCGUGAGGGACGAAGGUUCCAUGCAUUGUAAACUUCUUUUGUCAAGGGACAAAGUGAGGCUCGAGAGCCUGUCCGUGUGUACUUUAUGAAUAAGCAUCGGCUAACUCCGUGCCAGCAGCCGCGGUAAUACGGAGGAUCCGAGCGUUAUCCGGAUUUACUGGGUGUAAAGGGGGCGCAGGCGGCCAUGCAAGCCAGGGGUGAAAGCCCGUGGCCCAACCCCGGGACUGCCCUUGGAACUGGGUGGCUGGAGUGUGGGUGAGGCAGGCGGAAUGCCUGGUGUAGCGGUGAAAUGCGUAGAUAUCAGGAGGAACCCCGGUGGCGAAGGCGGCCUGCUGGACUGCAACUGACGUUGAGGCCCGAAAGCGUGGGGAGCAAACAGGAUUAGAUACCCUUGUAGUC